rnacentral:rRNA from 1 species
GGGACACGUGAAACCCUGUGGGAAGCAGGAGGGACCACCCUCCAAGGCUAAAUACUACCUAGUGACCGAUAGCGUAUAGUACCGUGAGGGAAAGGUGAAAAGAACCCCGGGAGGGGAGUGAAAUAGAACCUGAAACCCUGCACUUACAAGCUGUGGAAGCACAUUUCUUGUGUGACCGCGUACUUUUUGUAGAACGGGCCAACGAGUUACGUUAAGUAGCAAGGUUAAGCACUUAAGGUGCGGAGCCGUAGCGAAAGCGAGUUUUAACUGAGCGUUCAGUUACUUGACGUAGACCCGAAACCGGGCGACCUACCCAUGAGCAGGAUGAAGCGAAAGUAAAAUUUCGUGGAGGUCCGAACCCACGAGCGUUGAAAAGCUCGGGGAUGACUUGUGGGUAGCGGUGAAAUUCCAAUCGAGCCCGGAGAUAGCUGGUUCUCCCCGAAAUAGCUUUAGGGCUAGCCUCAAGGUGAGAGAUACGGAGGUAGAGCACUGAAUGUCCUAGGGGGUAUUGCACCUACCGAAGACUAUCAAACUCCGAAUGCCGUCAUCUUAUACUUGGGAGUCAGACUGUGGGUGAUAAGAUUCAUAGUCGAAAGGGCAACAGCCCAGAUCGUCAGCUAAGGUCCCUAAAUGUAAGUUAAGUGGUAAAGGAUGUGGGAUUGCACAGACAACCAGGAUGUUGGCUUAGAAGCAGCCACUCAUUCAAAGAGUGCGUAAUAGCUCACUGGUCGAGUGAUCCUGCGCCGAAGAUUUCCGGGGCUAAAACUUACUACCGAAGCUACGGCAUCAGUAAUGAUGGGUAGGGGAGCUUCCCAUACGGGUUGAAGCAUGACCGUAAGGACAUGUGGACAGUAUGGGAGUGAGAAUGUUGGCAUGAGUAGCGAGAUGUGGGUGAGAAUCCCACAGGCCGUAAACCCAAGGUUUCCAGGGGAAGGUUCGUCCGCCCUGGGUUAGUCGGGACCUAAGCUGAGGCCGAAAGGCGUAGGUGAUGGACAACAGGUUGAUAUUCCUGUACUACCGAUAACCGUUUGAGAGAAGGGAUGACACAGUAGGAUAAGCUAAGCACACUGUUGGUUAUGUGUGCCCAAGCAUUGAGGCAGUCAAAGUAGGCAAAUCCGCUUUGAUAAUGCUGGGAUGUGAUGGGGAGCGAAAUUUAGUAGCGAAGUAGCUGAUUUCACACUGUCAAGAAAAGUCUCUAUCGAGGUUAAAGGUACCCGUACCGCAAACCGACACAGGUGGGUGAGGAGAGUAUCCUAAGGCCAGCGAGAGAACUGUUGUUAAGGAACUCGGCAAAAUGACCCCGUAACUUAGGGAUAAGGGGUGCCACCAUCAGGUGGCCGCAGAGAAUAGGCCCAAGCGACUGUUUACCAAAAACAUAGGUUUCUGCUAAGUCGCAAGACGAUGUAUAGGAGCUGACGCCUGCCCGGUGCUGGAAGGUUAAGGGGAUCUGUUAGAGCAAUCGAAGCAGUGAACUUAAGCCCCAGUAAACGGCGGCCGUAACUAUAACGGUCCUAAGGUAGCGAAAUUCCUUGUCGGGUAAGUUCCGACCCGCACGAAAGGCGUAACGAUUUGGGCACUGUCUCAACAACAGACUCGGUGAAAUUGUAAUUCCGGUGAAGAUGCCGGAUACCUGCGACAGGACGGAAAGACCCCAUGGAGCUUUACUGUAGCUUGACAUUGGGUCUUGGUACUACAUGUACAGGAUAGGUGGGAGGCUUUGAAACCAGGACGCCAGUUUUGGCGGAGCCAUCCUUGGGAUACCACCCUUGUAGUACUGGGACUCUAACCAUAGGCCAUGAAUCUGGUCUUGGGACACUGUCAGG